rnacentral:tRNA from 2 species
GGGGAGGUCGCAUAGAGGCCUAGUGCGGCGGUUUGCUAAACCGCUAGGGGAGCAAUCCCCUCGAGGGUUCGAAUCCCUCCCUCCCCGCCA